AACGUGGCUGUCGCCGCAGCUCUCGGCCCGAACGUGCCCUCUGCAGAUACCCGCGGGGUCGGGCCCUGCCACAGCCCGGCGCUCCAGCGCUAAUCGCGUCCUGCACCAGGUAUAUUUCCACACAAGCACCCUGAACAAAUCAGAAACAUUCACUGGAAAUGUGCAUGAGAAGAUAUACAGACGUCUGCAGACAUGCAACUGCCACAAGACAGCCAGUAAAAUCCCUGCUCUUUAAAAUCUCUUACAUCUCUCACCUUUGCUUGUGGCUGCUGCAGUGAUUUCAGUUACCUCAUUCCACAAAGGGGCUUAUUGGAUUGAUUUUUACUCUCUUCAGUGGGAGCAAUACCUUGUGUUCUGUUCAACCUAUUACAUUGUCUUUCCAUUGUGGAAUAAUUGGAAGAAGGUAAUAGUGAUGCUGCCACCUAAGUAUCUUCAAAUGUGUUUGUUCAUAUGUGCCAAGUGCCUUGCUAAAUUAUAACCUUACAUACACAUGAACAACUUUCCUGGGUUUACAGGGAUAAAAAAGGAACAUCAAUAUGUCAUCCAAAUCUUUUCCUGGCAUUUGUUUUGCAAUUUAAGGCCAACCAUUUCAGACUGGCACUUAGAGAAAGUUGAAACAUCAUCUUUUUAAUUAUAUUUGCCAUGGAAAAAAGAACAGUGGUCUUACUGUCUCCUUUUUUAUAUGAUGAGAAUUUUAUGAUUUCAUAGUGGGCUGAAGAGCUGAAAAGGCUAAUGAAUCAUUACAAAGAACAGUAUGAAGUCUUUCUUUAACUUUGACUUAAGGGACAGUUAUUAUCCAUAAAUGGCUUUGCAGCUGCUCAUUGGGUUAGGUGGAACUGGGAAAGCUGGCAAAACAACAUGAACAAAUUCAAUGAAGGGUGGAAAAGAAGAAAAAGAAGAGGUCCAUCUUGGAAACUUUGGUAGAGGUGUAGGAAAACAUCCAACAAGAGGAAGAGACCUGCAGUAUCAAUAUGUAGGAGUGAAAGCAAACAGUGAAUUACAUACAGUUUUACAGAAAAGCAUAAAAACAAAGCCCACAGAAUUUAAGCCUCUGUGUGAAGGAUCUCAUAGCUGAGGAAGGAACUAACACAACUAUCUUCCACUUCUUUGGCAUGACUACUCAGUGCAUACUACUUAACUAGGUCAUGCCUGGGAUAUUUUUGGGAAUCUUCCUGUUGGAAAAUUACACUGAAGGGAAUUUUUAAAAGAGCAAUUAAAAUAAUUAAAGGGAUGAAGGGAUUGAUUUAUGAGACAAGAUCAAAAGAUCUGGAAUAUUAAAACAUGUUUCACAAAUGCUGUGGAGUUUGGAUGACAUCACAUUGUUAAGAUUAGCACAGACUGUUUGGAAAGAGUUUAUUCAGUGUGAGAUUACGUGAGUAUUUUGAAACUAGUAGAAACUGCAGAAAUGGGGAAAAUAAGGUCGAGGCAGCGGUGUUUGAAAAGCUUUGUGCUGAAAAUCAAGGGCAGAAACCAUACCCUCUACAGGUAGAUUGGACUAGAUUAGAUAAAAGACACCAACUGAUGGGAACAAUCUUGCAAAGGCUUUGCACAGUAUGCAGUAAUCUGCACUAGAUGUGUGUUUUACCUAUAUAACCUUUGUUCUUCACACAGGACCACAGCAGUCUGAAAUACCAAGUGUUUCAAGUCUCAAGUUUUUUUAAGCAGGGUGUAAUAGCAUUUUUAACCACAGGCUCCCUGUUCAUCCUCUCUGACUACAUACACCUCUGUUCAUUGUUCUGAAAAUAUUUCGCCUACAACUGCCACAAUCCAAAGUUCACCUCAGGAAUGAGAGUUAAACCCAGCUUCUUCUUCAAUCACAGCUAAGAAACAUCCUUUAAGAAAAAUAAUUUUUUUUAGUCACGUUUAUAACCAGUUCAGAAAUUCAUUAACUUCAGGUUCUUCUGAGUCCAGCCUAGGGUUCACUAGGGUUACUUAACAAUAUUAGACUUUUUUUUCCUGAAUGGCUAAAAAGUUUCUAAAGUGAUGACACGUUUAAGAAAGGAGUUCACAAAGGUUGUGUUAGCCCUUGUUUAGGAACACUUGUAUAUCUCAUGGCUCUAUCACUUGGGAAUAAUGUGGCCAUCUCACAAUACUAAUUGAAACCUUGAAAAUAAACAUAUCUAUGUAAAAUGUACAUACACAUGAAUUCUCUCUCCAUGCCUGGUUCUCUAUGUUCAAAGUGUUGUUAAACAUUAAUGCAACAUAAUUAAAUAAGCAGAAUAACAUGUGCAAACACAUAACCCCAAGCUAAAGUGCCUGCAAGAAGAUAGCACAAAAAUGGGAAAAGCAGAAGCUGCAAACAGAAGAGCGGUAGAAUUUGGUGCAAACCCCUGGAAAUGCUUUCAUCAUUUUCACUUUUUGUAUAUCUGGCUCAGUUUUUGCCUAGGAAUUUUCUUUUUUUGAACACAGCUCUAGUCCUUAAGUAUUUGCUUAUUAUUGACAGAAGUCAUGGCAAAUUUUGAGAGGGAGGAGA